UCGCCGCUGUGUUCUGGGCGGAGGCCUAGGGCUCAGGGUUGGGGGUCAGUGGGCCUGGCUGGGGGCAGAGGUAAGGGAGGGCGCAGACUCGGAGUUGGAGGUCAGCGGGCCGGGCCCAGCCCCACGUCCUCCUGUUUUGCCCGUUUGUGUGACUCUGGGUCCGGUCUCGGUCUCCCGAGCUUCAGUUUCCGCAGGUGCACAGAGCUGGAGUUGCGGAGUUGUGGGCGCGAUGCAUUCACGGCUACUCCUCCCCUGGCGGGCGCCCCUGCAUUUAUGCAGCGCCCACGUUUUGCACUAGCACCCUAUGCAACGACCGGUCUCUCUGCAGGUCACAGAGGAGCUGGGGGGGGUUGGGGGACCCCAGAAGGUGACCAGGCCUGGAUGACCAGGACUGAACCGCAGGCCUUGGCCCUGCACCAACACCUCUUCCUCUGUGGCCAGGAAACAUUCCUUCCAAGGACCCCUACUGGAGGGGGUGGGAGGGUUGGUCCCCCAGGUCCUCCAGGUCCCGGGCGCUGUGCAACUGAGUGAAAGCACAGAGGCAGGUGGUCAGAAUCUGACCCCCAGCGGCCACAGCCACAACCCCUCACCCCAGGCAGGCCUCACUCUCCACUGUAGCCCUGAUCAAUGAAUCACAAGUGAGGGGCAGGAAACGAGAUUGAAGGACCCACGGUGUAGACAGCAGGGGAGGUGACCCCACCAACCCACCCAUCUGGCACCCUCUACGUCCCAAGUCUGGAGUGUCCCAGUGGCAGCCCUCAGGGCAUGGAUAGGCUGGAGGCCCGGCACCCCUGCCGAGGCUAGCCUAGAAGAAUGGGGGUGGCCCCUUUGGCCAUGGGAAGUGGUACAUUCACAGAUCGCGGGAAUGACAUGGGCAUCUUUGGGGGCUGUGAUUCAGCCGACCACAGAGUGUCUCAGGCUUCCCCCAAGGAUCCCAUCUUCACCAUGUACCGCCCUCCUGCUGGGACCUUGGGGUCUCCUGUCUGCGGCCAGCCCAGGACCCUACGAGUUCCUCAUUCCUGCUUCUCUCAGGAGAGACCUUUUAAAGGUCUGCAUUUCUCUUUGACUUUUUUUUCCGCAAUAGUUUUCUUCAUUAUAGAAAUACACACGCAGCCUCACUCUGUGGCCCAGGCUGGAGUGGAGUGGCACGAUCUCAGCUCACUGCAAUCUCUCUCCGGGUUCAGGCAGUCUUGUGCUUCAGCUUCCCCAGUAGCUGCACGGAGACACCCAGCUAAUUUGUUUUGGAGACGGAGACUCACUCUGUCGCCUGGGCUGGAGCGCAGAGGUGCAAUCUCAGCUCACUGCAACCUCUGCCUCCU
rnacentral:lncRNA from 1 species